CCCUUAGAUGUUCUGGGCCGCACGCGUGCUACACUGAGUGGAUCAGCGGGUCAGGUUGCGCGAAAGCGUUUCCUAAUCUUUAAAUCCGCUCGUGAUGGGGAUUGACGGUUGCAAUUUUCUGUCAUGAACGAGGAAUACCUUGUAAGCGCGGGUCAUCAUCCCGCGCUGAAUACGUCCCUGCCCUUUGUACACACCGCCCGUCGCUCCUACCGAUUGAGUGGUCCGGUGAGGCUUUGGGAUCUGAGCGGAAAGAGCGUUUCGCUGUUUCUGCUCGGAAAACUCAGUCGAACCUUAUCAUUUAGACGAAGGAGAAGUCGUAACA
rnacentral:rRNA from 1 species